UACGGGAGGCAGCGGUGGGGAAUAUUGCACAAUGGGCGCAAGCCUGAUGCAGCCAUGCCGCGUGUAUGAAGAAGGCCUUCGGGUUGUAAAGUACUUUCAGUCGUGAGGAAGGUGUUAAGGUUAAUAACCUUAGCAAUUGACGUUAGCGACAGAAGAAGCACCGGCUAACUCCGUGCCAGCAGCCGCGGUAAUACGGAGGGUGCGAGCGUUAAUCGGAAUUACUGGGCGUAAAGGGCACGCAGGCGGUUAAUUAAGUUGGAUGUGAAAUCCCCGGGCUUAACCUGGGAAUGGCAUUCAAGACUGGUUAGCUAGAGUCUUGUAGAGGGGGUAGAAUUCCAUGUGUAGCGGUGAAAUGCGUAGAGAUGUGGAGGAAUACCGGUGGCGAAGGCGGCCCCUGGACAAAGACUGACGCUCAUGUGCGAAAGCGUGGGGAGCAAACGAGGAUUAGAUACC
rnacentral:rRNA from 1 species